rnacentral:rRNA from 1 species
GACGAACGCUGGCGGCGUGCUUAACACAUGCAAGUCGAGCGGUAAGGCCCUUUCGGGGGUACACGAGCGGCGAACGGGUGAGUAACACGUGGGUGACCUGCCCUCAGCUCUGGGAUAAGCCUGGGAAACUGGGUCUAAUACUGGAUAUGACUCCACGGUGCAUGUCGUGGGGUGGAAAGCCUUGUGCGGCUGAGGAUGGGCCCGCGGCCUAUCAGCUUGUUGGUGGGGUGAUGGCCUACCAAGGCGACGACGGGUAGCCGGCCUGAGAGGGCGACCGGCCACACUGGGACUGAGACACGGCCCAGACUCCUACGGGAGGCAGCAGUGGGGAAUCUUGCGCAAUGCGCGAAAGCGUGACGCAGCAACGCCGCGUGGGGAAGACGGCCUCGG